rnacentral:rRNA from 1 species
GACGAACGCUGUCGGCGUGCUUAACACAUGCAAGUCGAACGGAAAGGCCCUGCUUUUGUGGGGUGCUCGAGUGGCGAACGGGUGAGUAACACGUGAGUAACCUGCCCUUGACUUUGGGAUAACUUCAGGAAACUGAGGCUAAUACCGGAUAGGAGCUCCUGCUGCAUGGUGGGGGUUGGAAAGUUUCGGCGGUUGGGGAUGGACUCGCGGCUUAUCAGCUUGUUGGUGGGGUAGUGGCUUACCAAGGCUUUGACGGGUAGCCGGCCUGAGAGGGUGACCGGCCACAUUGGGACUGAGAUACGGCCCAGACUCCUACGGGAGGCAGCAGUGGGGAAUAUUGCACAAUGGGCGGAAGCCUGAUGCAGCAACGCCGCGUGCGGGAUGACGGCCUUCGGGUUGUAAACCGCUUUCGCCUGUGACGAAGCGUGAGUGACGGUAAUGGGUAAAGAAGCACCGGCUAACUACGUGCCAGCAGCCGCGGUGAUACGUAGGGUGCGAGCGUUGUCCGGAUUUAUUGGGCGUAAAGGGCUCGUAGGUGGUUGAUCGCGUCGGAAGUGUAAUCUUGGGGCUUAACCCUGAGCGUGCUUUCGAUACGGGUUGACUUGAGGAAGGUAGGGGAGAAUGGAAUUCCUGGUGGAGCGGUGGAAUGCGCAGAUAUCAGGAGGAACACCAGUGGCGAAGGCGGUUCUCUGGGCCUUUCCUGACGCUGAGGAGCGAAAGCGUGGGGAGCGAACAGGCUUAGAUACCCUGGUAGUCCACGCUGUAAACGGUGGGUACUAGGUGUGGGGUCCAUUCCACGGGUUCCGUGCCGUAGCUAACGCUUUAAGUACCCCGCCUGGGGAGUACGGCCGCAAGGCUAAAACUCAAAGGAAUUGACGGGGCCCCGCACAAGCGGCGGAGCAUGCGGAUUAAUUCGAUGCAACGCGUAGAACCUUACCUGGGUUUGACAUGGAUCGGGAGUGCUCAGAGAUGGAUGUGCCUCUUUUGGGGUCGGUUCACAGGUGGUGCAUGGCUGUCGUCAGCUCGUGUCGUGAGAUGUUGGGCUAAGUCCCGCAACGAGCGCAACCCUUGUUCACUGUUGCCAGCACGUUAUGGUGGGGACUCAGUGGAGACCGCCGGGGUCAACUCGGAGGAAGGUGGGGAUGACGUCAAGUCAUCAUGCCCCUUAUGUCCAGGGCUUCACGCAUGCUACAAUGGCUGGUACAGAGAGUGGCGAGCCUGUGAGGGUGAGCGAAUCUCGGAAAGCCGGUCUCAGUUCGGAUUGGGGUCUGCAACUCGACCUCAUGAAGUCGGAGUCGCUAGUAAUCGCAGAUCAGCAACGCUGCGGUGAAUACGUUCCCGGG